rnacentral:rRNA from 1 species
AGUGAACGCUGGCGGUAGGCCUAACACAUGCAAGUCGAACGGCAGCACAGUAAGAGCUUGCUCUUACGGGUGGCGAGUGGCGGACGGGUGAGGAAUACAUCGGAAUCUACUUUUUCGUGGGGGAUAACGUAGGGAAACUUACGCUAAUACCGCAUACGACCUACGGGUGAAAGCAGGGGAUCUUCGGACCUUGCGCGAUUGAAUGAGCCGAUGUCGGAUUAGCUAGUUGGCGGGGUAAAGUCCCACCAAGGCGACGAUCUGUAGCUGGUCUGAGAGGAUGAUCAGCCACACUGGAACUGAGACACGAUCCAGACUCCUACGGGAGGCCGCAGUGGGGAAUAUUGGACAAUGGGCGCUAGCCUGAUCCAGCCAUACAGCGUGGGUGAAGAAGGCCUUCGGGUUGUAAAGCCCUUUUGUUGGGAAAGAAAAGCAGCAGGUUAAUACCCCGCUGUUCUGACGGUACCCAAAGAAUAAGCACCGGCUAACUUCGUG